UCCUAGCCCCGAUAGAAGUGGAAAUCCUUUUAUUUUUUUUCUUUAAAAAAAUAAAAGAUUACUUCACUAAAACAUUU
rnacentral:sRNA from 1 species